rnacentral:rRNA from 1 species
UAGGGAAUCUUCCGCAAUGGGCGAAAGCCUGACGGAGCAACGCCGCGUGAGUGAUGAAGGUCUUCGGAUCGUAAAACUCUGUUAUUAGGGAAGAACAAAUGUGUAAGUAACUAAGCACGUCUUGACGGUACCUAAUCAGAAAGCCACGGCUAACUACGUGCCAGCAGCCGCGGUAAUACGUAGGUGGCAAGCGUUAUCCGGAAUUAUUGGGCGUAAAGCGCGCGUAGGCGGUUUUUUAAGUCUGAUGUGAAAGCCCACGGCUCAACCGUGGAGGGUCAUUGGAAACUGGAAAACUUGAGUGCAGAAGAGGAAAGUAGAAUUCCAUGUGUAGCAGUGAAAUGCGCAGAGAUAUGGAGGAACACCAGUGGCGAAGGCGACUUUCUGGUCUGUAACUGACGCUGAUGUGCGAAAGCGUGGGGAUCAAACAGG